CCUACGGGAGGCAGCAGUGGGGAAUAUUGGACAAUGGGCGAAAGCCUGAUCCAGUCAUGCCGCGUGUGUGAAGAAGGCCUUCGGGUUGUAAAGCACUUUCAGUGGGGAAGAAAGCCUUGGGGCUAAUACCCUCGAGGAAGGACAUCACCCACAGAAGAAGCACCGGCUAACUCCGUGCCAGCAGCCGCGGUAAUACGGAGGGUGCGAGCGUUAAUCGGAAUUACUGGGCGUAAAGCGCGCGUAGGCGGUCUGAUAAGCCGGUUGUGAAAGCCCCGGGCUCAACCUGGGAACGGCAUCCGGAACUGUCAGGCUAGAGUGCAGGAGAGGAAGGUAGAAUUCCCGGUGUAGCGGUGAAAUGCGUAGAGAUCGGGAGGAAUACCAGUGGCGAAGGCGGCCUUCUGGACUGACACUGACGCUGAGGUGCGAAAGCGUGGGUAGCAAACAGGAUUAGAUACCCCAGUAGUC
rnacentral:rRNA from 1 species